AUUGAACGCUGGCGGCAGGCCUAACACAUGCAAGUCGAGCGAGUGGCGGACGGGUGAGUAAUGUAUGGGGAACUGCCCGAUGGAGGGGGAUAACUACUGGAAACGGUAGCUAAUACCGCAUACCAUCGGAUGUGCCCAUAUGGGAUUAGCUAGUAGGUGGGGUAAAGGCUCACCUAGGCGACGAUCCCUAGCUGGUCUGAGAGGAUGAUCAGCCACACUGGGACUGAGACACGGUCCAGACUCCUACGGGAGGCAGCAGUGGGGAAUAUUGCACAAUGGGCGCAAUCCUGAUGCAGCCAUGCCGCGUGUAUGAAGAAGGCCUUAGGGUUGUAAAGUACUUUCAGCGAGGAGGCGUUACCCGCAGAAGAAGCACCGGCUAACUCCGUGCCAGCCGCCGCGGUAAUAC
rnacentral:rRNA from 1 species